rnacentral:lncRNA from 1 species
CUCUUGCACAGUUUGUAUUUUUUAUUGUUGAGUAUUGGAAAUUCUAUAUUUAUAUUGAAUACAAGUUCUUCUUUUUGAGUUCAUAAUAGUUUACAUCAUUGUGAAAUUUCAGUUGUACAUAUUUCUUGUCACUACGCAAGUGCUCCCCUUCACCCCCUGUGCCCACCCCCCACUCCCCUUCCCCUGGUAACCACUGAACUGUUUUCUUUGUCCAUGUGUUUGUUUGUAUUCCACAUAUGAGUGAAAUCAUAUGGUGUUUGUCUUUCUCAGUCUGGCUUAUUUCGCUUAGCAUAAUUCCCUCCAGAUCCAUCCACGUUGUUGCAAAAGGGAGAAUUUUGUCUUUUUUUAUGGUUGAAUGGUAUUCCAUUGUAUAUAUAUGCCACAUCUUCUUUAUCCAAUCAUCAGUCGAUGGACACUUGGAAUGUUUCCAUGUCUUGCCUAUUGUGAAUAAUGCUGCAAUGAACAUAGGGGUGCAUAUGUUACUUUGGAUUGUUGAUUUCAAUUUGUUUGGGUAGAUACCCAGUAGUGGGAUAGCUGGGUCAUAAGGUAUAUCUGUUUAGUUUUUUGAGGAAUCUCCAUACUGUUUUCCAUAGUGGCUGCACUAGUUUGCAUUCCCACCAAGCAUACAAGUUCUUUACCAGAUGCAGUUGACCUUCCGGAUCCACAUAUACUAUGUUUGUAAUCCGUGGUUGGUUGAAUCUUCGGAUGGAGUCGACUAAAGGACUAGAGCGUCCGUGGAUUUUGGUAUCUGCAGGGGCGUCCUGGAACCAAUCCUCCACGGAGUUCUGCUGGAAGUUGAUUCUGCCAGUUUUUGCUCGGUUUUCAGUUUUUCUGUAGGAGAACAACAGCUUGGAGCUGCCUACUUCACCAUUUUGCUGACGUCCUUCCUCCAUCACUUCUUAUUGUCUCAAUAUGCUUUAUUCAUGUUUUUCAUUGAACUUACCAUGACCCUGACAUUAUAUUCUGGAUUUAUUUUUGGAUUUGUUGACUUAUUAUUUAUUCCCCUCACUAUGAUACUGUAGUAUCCUAGUCCAAAAGGACACUGUAGUAAACUUUUG